GGGGAAUAUUGCGCAAUGGGGGCAACCCUGACGCAGCCAUGCCGCGUGAAUGAAGAAGGCCUUCGGGUUGUAAAGUUCUUUCGGUAGCGAGGAAGGCAUUUAGUUUAAUAGACUAGGUGAUUGACGUUAACUACAGAAGAAGCACCGGCUAACUCCGUGCCAGCAGCCGCGGUAAUACGGAGGGUGCGAGCGUUAAUCGGAAUAACUGGGCGUAAAGGGCACGCAGGCGGUGACUUAGGUGAGGUGUGAAAGCCCCGGGCUUAACCUGGGAAUUGCAUUUCAUACUGGGUCGCUAGAGUACUUUAGGGAGGGGUAGAAUUCCACGUGUAGCGGUGAAAUGCGUAGAGAUGUGGAGGAAUACCGAAGGCGAAGGCAGCCCCUUGGGAAUGUACUGACGCUCAUGUGCGAAAGCGUGGGGAGCAAACAGGAUUAGAUACCCUGGUAGUCCACGCUGUAAACGAUGUCGACUUGGGGGUUGAACUUUAAGUUUGGCGCCCGUAGCUAACGUGAUAAAUCGACCGCCUGGGGAGUACGGCCGCAAGGUUA
rnacentral:rRNA from 1 species